GUUUGCUUUCCGUAAAUUUGCAGAACUUUUUUUAUGUUGUUGCGGAAGCACUGGGCGUAAUAAGUUCAAUGAAAAGGCCAAGGGAUUUAACUAAGAAAGGAGAAAAAGGAAAAAGCAGAAACAAAUUAAGAAGGAUUAUUGCAAUAUAAUCAUGUCUCAAAGAAAUAAGUAACACCAUAUUCAUAUGUUUGGUUCCCAGGCUACGAUUUACAGAAAUAAUAGCAUCAGGACCUUCAUAUAUAUACUUAUUGCAACAACACGCUAACCAUGGAACUAAAAGGAAUAAGGAGGGGGGAGAAGUUAACCCUCAUGCACACAGGUUGAUGAAAUUUGACAGAAGAAAAAGGAAAUCCAGACGUAGAAAAGUAGAUGAAGAUGAUAUGAUAUAUGUUGUGAUUAAGCACACUGGAAAUCACGUGGGGCAGUUCUUGAGCAAACAUUGAGAAGCAAGGAGAGUGAGAUGGGAAGGUUAAGGUUGAUGCCCAAAAUGUUUGCUUUGAGAGCAGUGCAGAGGCAGACUGCAGCCUCAAGAUCAACGAGGCCAUCGAGAAGGGUGCAGCAAGGGGUAACUGGUGGUUGACCCAAGGUGGCGUUAACCAAGCCGUUGAGCACAUUGGCGCAUACACCUAGUUUGAGUGCGUCACGGGGGCAGGAGCCACUAGGGCUGGGGCUGGGCGUUGGCUUUGGCUUUGGCUUUGGGGUUGGACCAGGGCAUGAGUAACUACCGCAUGCAGAGAUAAGUGAGAAGAAAAGGAGGUUGAGUGUGAGGAAAAUGGCAAGGGAGGAACAAGCUUUGGAAGCCAUCUUAAACUGAUCUCACUGCUUUGUCUUUAUCUUCCUAAUCACUACCAAAAUGCUAAAUCUUUUUAGCUAACUGAUAAUGCUUAGGAGAAGACUGCUUGUGAUGAUGGAAGUAAUUUGGAAUGGAUGCUUGCUUUAUAUAGUGCUCUUGGGGUGCUCAAGUGCCCUCAUAAAAAAUUAGCAAGUAGUUCGUCUGUUUUAUAUACCAUAUGGGUAACGCAUAAUAUAAUUAGAGUGAUUUUGAUGAUCAGUAUUUUUAUUUUGGCACUAAAAUUAAGAAUAAUUAUGUAUAUGAUGAUGUGUGAAGUUGAGAAUAUUUUUAGCUGGCAGGGGAAAGGCUUAAAAUUAGGUUUUGGAUGGUUGUGACUUGUCAUGUAUGUAGGGAGUGCCAUGAUUAAUCUUGCUCAUGUGAUGGAAAAAAUCAUUUUAACAAUAUUUUUAUAACAAUUUUUUGACAACACAUGUGAGUUUGUGAUUAGUCUAUUUUAAAUAUCUUUUUAAACAUAAAUUCAAAUAGACUAAUAAUGUAAUGACAUAUGUCCUCAGACCGUAAAACCGUUACAAUCCCCAGAAUUAUUCAAUCGCUAUAUUUUCCACGUCGAAUAGCGGGUCCCAUUAUAAACAUUAACGCACUAAUUGUGGCUGUAAAUUCACCGAAAUCUAUAAUAACAGUUUUUAAACACUUACAGAAUUUUAUUAUUAGAUGUUUUUUACGAUUAUGAAGUAAAAAAAUAAAAUUAUGAUAUUUUACGAUAUGAUAUUUUAAUAACUCUAUUUACUUUUUAAAUCUCGAAAUAUUUUAAUUAACUCUAUUUUAAUUAUAAGUUUUUUUUAUCCUUUUACUCUUUAUUAAUGUAAACAACUAAUACAAUACAUCGUGUUAAGAGAUAGCUUUUUAAUAUAGAAAUUAAUGUAUACAUAUACACCGCAUGCAUGUAUAAUUAGUUGUUUUACUUAAUUACGAUCUAUCUUUAUGUUUGAUCGAUGAAAGCAAUUACGUGAUAUUAGCAGGUGGAAAAGUUGUAUCAUGCUUGAAUGCGAUAUCAUGAUCUUAAAUGAUAUAACAAAGGAGAAAACACAAGUUUUUAUUUGAAGAUGCCUUUUCGAAUACAAGAAUCACAUUUACAAAUUUUCACACACAAUUACAUCAAAAUAGAUAUCGUCAAACCUCAAAAUGAAAAUAGAGUAAUACACGAUGACUAAAGAAUUACCCCUAUUUAUGCAUAAUAAUAAACCAAACACACCCCGCAUCAUUAAAUAAGCACGUCUAAGAACAUGAUCACAAAUAUUGAUCCAGCAUUAAUUAUGUUAUGGUAAUGUAAGAUAUGUUUGUUGAAAUCUUUUUCAUAUUUUGAACCAUGAGUAACUAAUUAGUAAUUACGAAACCUACAAAUUUCUCAUAAAUACUUUAUGGAUAAUUUCUGACUAAUUUAUUAUUAUUGUAGAUUUAGAUUGGUGUAAGAUAGAGGUAAUUAAUGAUACUAAUAUUAAUUAAGUUCUAAAGAAUAAAUAAUAUUAAAAAAAGAUAUUAAUAUCAAAUGAUUGAUAUUAAUUUAAAUAAAUACAACCAAUAGCAAACAAACUAAUGUUAAUCCAAUAUAAAUCUGAAUUUUAAAAAAAUAUUAAUUUAAAUAAAUAAUAAAAAUAAAUUAGAAUUAGAAUUAGUUAAAUUAAAAUUUAUAUAAACAAAUUUUAAAAAUAAAUAAUAUUUUGAGUCGAAAGUAUCAUUUAUACAUAUAAAUGUUAAACAUUAUUCUCCAUCCAAGGGAUAGUAAGUUAGAUAAAUAAUAAAAAUAAAAUUGAAUUAAUAUAAACUUAAUCAAAUAUUGAAAAUAACGUAAAUUAAUAUUAAUUUAAAUAAAUACAAAAUAAAAUUAUGGUUGAUUAACUUAUUAUAUAUUAAAAUUUCCAUUCAGCGAAUGUUAAUUUGAUCAACACAUAAUUAAUUUAUUUCAUUUUAGUAAUUUGUUAUUUUAAUCUGAGUUUACAAUAUAGUCCACAUGUAACUUACAUAUUUGGCAAUUACAUAUUUUUGGUAAUUAAUUACUAAGAUGUAACGUAGGAAUUAUAGCCGUGAAUAAUUUAAAUUAUAUGGAUUAUAUUAUUUGAUAUCUCUAAUGACAUGAGGACUCAUGGCCAACUUUUGAUUCUAUUUUGAUUUUAUUUUUGCCUAAUAACUUAAAGAACCAAUAGUGUUCCAAACCCAAAAUAAAUAAAUCAACAACUAUAUCAAAUUCAAAACAUUUAUUCAAUCGAAUGCAAUGAGUAAUGACUGAACAUGAAAUAAGGAAAAUUAAAUAUUAUUGUUUAGUUUUAGGAUUUGUUUUAUUUAUUAUUUAUACUAUAGGAAUUGUUAGAUAUUUUUUAGUUAAAAGAUUGAUAUAGUAUUUUGAAUUAUAUGUUUGAAUUUUUGUGUUGAUGCUAAAUUAUUCUAAGUAUUCAAACAUAUUUUAUCUUUGAAUAAUUUUAUAUUUGAGAAAUUGAAUUUAUUUACUAUAAGUAGAAGAAAUGAAAUUUUAUAUAAUUAGAAAAUUAACAUGCUUAAUUCGUUCUUUUAAACCUGAUUGAUUUAACAUAAAUUGGUCGAUUUAAUGUAAAUCGAUCAAUUUAACUUCGAUAUGAGAUUAUGAAACCGAUCAAUGAGAAUAAUUGAUGAAACAAAGAAAUUAUAUUUUUUUUAUGAAAAAAUUUAAUUAAUUGUUUGAGUGACCGAUCAAAAGUACGUCUAGCCUAAUUAAGAGCAUCUAAAUAGAUUAUUACAAAUUAACCAUUACAAAUUGUAUAAAUAAGAUUGUGAGAUAGUUAUAAUAAUUGAUAGUUGUAUUUAAUAUCAAAGUGACCGAAUCUUUUCUGAUUUAACAUUAAACUAUCCUUUUGUAAGUAUUAUUCAAGUGAUUAUGAAUCGAGCAAAAUCUGUAUUAAAUCAAACAGUAAAUAGUAGAUUGGAUCAGAAAUGAAUAGUGUUUAUCCAUUAUCCGAUCUAUAACAUAAUAAUUUACUCGUUACUCGUGAAUAUUUAUUUAAAAAUAUCUAUAAAUAUUUUAAAACUCGUAGAUACGGUUAAUAUUUGCAAAUAUGUAAGUAUAUUUUAUAGAUACAACUUAAAAAUAAUUAUAGUUAAGUUGUUGAAAUGGAGCAUGUGAACAUGAGAAUUUUAUGUGGAGGUUUUGGAUGGUUGUGGCUCGUGAUGUAGGGACCAGAAUGGGUGGAUCUGAUGAUGGUGCUUCAGAUUUUGAUAGUAAAGGAUAAAAUUGUCUUUGUAUUAAAUUUGGAAGUUCCGGAGUUACACCGAUAACUUCUAAAAGAAGAAAUAUAUGAAUCCGACAGCCUAUCAAAUCCCCACAUUACCACUGGCUAAUAGCCUUAUACUUAUUAAUUAUUGUCUUUUUAAUCAUAUCCUCACAUUCGCUCUUCCUAAUUGGCCAAAACCUUCUUAUUAAACUACUAAUUUCAACAAAACUUAGCCUUAUUUACUUCAAACUACCUUAUCUUAUUUUUAUUUUUAAAAAAUAACUUCCUUUACAUAUUCAUUUUGUGUGAACUAGUCUGUAAUUAUUGACUUAAAUUGUGAUUAAGAAUUAAUAUUAAGAUCUUUUUUUUUUCCACGCGUUUUGGCCAGUGGAAUCUAAUGAACUGAAUUAUUAUCAUUUUUUUAAAAAGGUCUUUUAAUAACGACGCCCACAUUUGAAAAAUUGACGUGGUGUUGAUUUUAACACGUAAAGUUAGUAGUUUAAAACAAUUUUGAUUAAAUAUGUGAUUAAUAUUAGGUUAAGACAAUCACUGAGAUAAGUUUUUCAUCUAUAAUUAUAAUUCAUAAAGAUCUGAAAAAAAAUGCUUAUAUAUUGUAGAGAAAUCCAAAAAUUGUGUUCAAAUUUUAGAAAAAUAAAAGAAAUACUAAAUUAUUGUAGGGGGAUAUAUUUCUUACUCCUAAUUUGAUCUUAUCGUUCAAGUUAUAAGUUUUUAUGGAGUAAAGUAUGCAAAAAUUAUUUUAAAGUUAAGUCUAAGGUAAUUAUAUAUAUAUAUAUAUAUAUAUAUAUAUAUAUAUAUAUAUAUAUAUAUAUAUAUAUAUAUAUAUAUAUAUAAUAUUUUAAUUAAUUUUGUAACCUGCCAAUAAAUUCAAAUACAUAAUGCAGUAAAGAGUAGUAUAAAAAUUAAAAAUAUAUAUACAUGUUAUAUGGUGUAACAUAAAGCCAAAAUGAAAUGCAUUCUACAUAAAUAUGCAAACUUUAAAUUCAUAAUACAGUCAAACAUACAUAAUGGUUUUCCAUGUACUAUAUUAUUUCUAUAAAAUUAAAAGGAUCAGAAAGGUCUCGUAUAAUAUUCUUCAAAAUUAGAGAAAAUAAAAGAAAAUGAACUUUAGAUAAAUAGAACUUUGAGAGAAAUAAAUAAUCAAUAUCUAACUUUUAUUAAUAAAUUUUCAAAUCACUAUCUAUUUAAAAUUUAUUUUAAAAUAAAAUGCACAUCUUUCCAUUAUAGUGUUUUCAAAAAUUUAAGAGUAAUUUAAUUAAUUAAAAUAUCCAUGAAAAAUAAAUGCAUAUAAAAUUAUUUGUUUUCUUUUUUUUUUUCAAAAAUCGUUAAGAUUAUGUUAUGACAAAAAAAGUGGAAGACCAUAUUAACGAGAAAAUUUAAAUUAUCUUUUGGAUUUAGCUAGCAAACCUUUUUAUCCCUAAUUCAGUCGCUACAUAUAAUUACAUUUAAUUUUAGCGACCAAAUAUUUUCGGUCACUAACUAUUAUAUUAAACAUAUUUUAGCGAUAUAUAUUAACAAAUACAAUAUUAUUUUGAUAACUAAUUUAGUCAUUAAAAUGUUACAUUUAGCAAACUAAAAUUUUCGAUCUUUAGUUUGAUCGUUAUACAAAUAAUUGCUAUUAUAUAUUGCGACUGCUAUUAUCGGGUGUUAUUUCAGUUAAAAUUUACAACUAAUUUCUUUUUACCGUUAAUUUCGACUGCUAAAUUUCAUUUUUCUAAUUUACAAAUAUUUUUUGGUGAGAUGUGAAAACGCUUAUAAUAAUUAUUGACCUUCGUAAUUAUUAAUAUAUUUUUUAAAUUGGGUUAAUUUGUUUUCUAUUGAACUUUUUAUUGUAUAUAUUGUCUUUUGAUACAAAUCAGUAGCAAUAUUGAGAUAUUCAGCAUUACAGUACUUGAAUUUGAGAUUGAUUAGUAAUGACUUUAUGAAUGAUUUGCGUAGCUAAUGACUUUAUGAUAUAUUUUACUUUACCAUUUAACUUAUACGAAAUUUUAUGUUUUUAUCUUUAAAAAAAAAAUUGAUACAUCUAAUUUUUUUACAUCAUUUAAUAUUUUUUUUAUUUUUUACUUUUUUUCUUAAAAAAAUAUACUUUCUAUCAAACCAAACGAAUAUAAAACUGUCUUGGUACCGUUACUCUUUACCUUUAUGGGAUGAGUUUUAGCUUUUAUAAUGAUAAUUGUUGCUGUCAAAGUUUGACUCGUGCAUUGGCUCCAACAAGUUAGUAGAAGAAGAAUAAGAAAAACCACAGGUAAUAAAUAUACGGAUAAUGAUAUUUUAAUAAUUUUUUUUAAUAAUUUUUUGACAAUAAGACGUGUGUUAUUAUUUUAUUAGUCUGUUUGAAUUUAUUUUAAACAAAUAUUUGAAACGAACCAAUUAUAAACUGUAAUGCGUUGUAAAAAAAUUGUGAAAAAAGAAUUGUUAAAGUGAUUUUUUUCUAAAUAUAUACCUGAGUAGUGAUCAGAUUUCAUCGUCGAAUAGGAUAAAGUACUUAUGUUUGAAAAUGGACCUUUUUGAUGCAGAUUGUUGAAGGACCCAAUCUUAAUCUAUCAGUGGCAAAAUAUAAAUUCAAACGUAAACUGCUGUAGCCUAUAAUUUUGAUCUAGUUUAAAUAUCUAAUGCUUCACAGUAUCAGUGCAUGCACGUGGACUGAAAUUACGUUAGUCACGGGUUACGGGACAGAACUUACAAGGGUAACGAAAGUUUUCUCGAUCAACUUAAUCCCAUCGUCAAAAUCGACAAAAAGAAAAAGAAAGGCUAUAAAUGAAGAAGUAUGUUACUUGUAAAAGCAUUUUCAUUUCUCAGUUAAAAAAUAAUAACGGACAUAUUUGAUUGUUUUGCUUUACAUAAGAAAGCAUUAAUUUAUUUAAAACAAAACACUGCAGAUGGAGUUAAUACCAUCCAUGCACGUACAAGAAUCACACCUGGAUGAAUAAGAAAGCACGAAAGAAAUGAAAGGAAGGAAUAAAAAACACGAUAAUUGUGUAUAGGCCAUGAUCAGGCACAUUGGAAAUCACGGGGAACCUGCCUUGAGCAAACGUUGAGAAGGAGGGAGAGUGAGAUGGGAAGGUUGAGGUUGAUGCCUAAGAUGUUUGCUCUGAGGGCAGUGCAGAGGCACGCUGCAGCUUCAAGGUCAAGGAGACCAUCGAGGAGGCUGCAGCAAGGGGUAACUGGUGGUUGACCCAGUGUCACGUUCAGCAACCCGUUUAGAACAUUGGCACACACUCCUAGUUUGAGUGCAUCACGAGGGCAUGAGGCACCAGAGCCUCCAUUGCCUCCUGAACCACCCGAGCCACCUGAACCUCCGGAACCACCGUAACCUCCGUGCCUUGGCUUAGUGGCAGAGGCAAUGGCAAAGAAGAGGAUGUUGAGUGUGAGGAAAAGAACAACAAGGGAAGAAGGAGUUUUUGAAGCCAUCUUAAACUCUAGUAGUUGCUGAUAUUUUCUUACUUUCUUCAACUCGAAAAUAGGAUGCAACUAUGAGAGCUUAAGAGUGUUUGUAGGGAUGGAAGUUAUUAGCAAUCGGUGGUGGUUUAUAUAUGCUUAGAACUCCAAGUGGCGUCAAUUGUUUAAGAACUAAAAAAUGUUAAAUGAGUUUGGGAGAUGAUUCAGUUUUAGCUGGCGAACAAAGUCUAUCAAUUCUGCUUGCAUCUACCCACCACUACCUUAAGAUAAUAACUGUAAAAAAUUAUUUAGAGGAUAAUAAAAUAUAAUAAAUGAAUUAAAAAUUUAAAUUUUAAAUUUUUUUCAAGGUAUAAUUGAUUAGUUAAAAUUUAUCCAUAAGGCAAGCUUAAAUGAAAAUUUCCUUUUCAUUCUUCCUUAUCUCUAUGUUUCACUUGGUCCUUGCGUUGUUGUUGGUGUUUUUUUUUUUUUUUUUUUUUUAUUGACAAAUAUUUGUUUUUUUUUUUUUUUUUUUUGUUAAGACAUCAUUUACUUGUUUCAUACUUACAUUCCACUACUUAUACAACACCAAACUCAUUUAAGGUUAAAGCUUUGUCCGCUCAAAACCAUCUUUUUACAUCCAAGUUGGCAGAAGUUUCUUUUAAACUGAAGUUUAUUAUGGUUAUUUCUAUUUAAUAUAUCUAAAACCAUUUUUAUAUCAAGAAAAAUAAUUCUUUAACACACUUAACUUUUUAUAUUUAAUUGAUAUUACUUUCUUCUACUUUUUAUUCUCUUCUUUUUUUAAAAAAAUACAAAAUUUUAUACUUUUAUAACCAUUUUAUCCUUAUAUUUUGUGUCAAAUAAAUAUAAGAGUGUGACAUAGUACCUUUAUAUCAAUGUUGACUGGUGUUUUGAAAAAAAUAAAAUAAAACUAAUCUAUCUUAGUUGAAAUAAAUAUAAUUAAUAUCAAUAGAAAAUAAUUUCGACUAAAUAUAAAUCGGGUUGAAAUAGAUUGGAAUACCGUGGGAUAUUUGAUAAAAAAAAAAUAUUGAUUAAUAUAGGUUAAAAUAUAUUAUAACUAUAAAUGAUAUCUUAAAUUAUUAAAUGUGUUUAGUAUUAAAAUAUUUUCCUCAUUUAAUAAUAAUUAAAAUAUUUAAUAUACACACGAAAAUGAAUUUUUUUUACCUAUAAGUUAUUUUACCCAAAUACGAAAAAAGAUGCAUUUAUUUUAAUCACAGUGGAGAUUGUUAGGUUGUUCAAAAUAGUAUAUCUUGAAAAUCUCACAUUAUCUAGGAUAAGAAAUGAAGUAGGUGAUAGUAGCUAUAUAAUGGACUUAAGGUUUAUGAGUUUAGAUGUCUUAGUUAAAAACAAUUUAAGUUGGUAUUUGACUUUUCUUAUAGUAGAGGGUUGUGACAUUUAGUUAAAUUUCUAUUUUAGAGAAUGUGUGUAUUUGGGUCAAAAAGCAUGGGAGAGAGGUGUAUCUUUUGUAAAAUUUUUCACAUGGUAUUAUUCUCUCGUUUUCAUUAGAAAACAUUUGUGAUUUUUUCUUUGGUUUUGAAGUUUUUACAUUAUAUUCUUAUGUUGAUUAUUUUUAUCUUAAUUCUCUAUUAAUUGGGUAAUUCACAAAAUAAAAGACAUUGAUGCUUUUCAUGUAAUUUUUUUCAUAAUCUUUAAUUAAUGAAUAAGAUCAUUUGAACUUAUAACAAAAUUUACCUCAAUUUUUUCUUUUCUAAAAGUCCUAAUGGAGAAAUUUAUCGAAAAAUAUUCUAAAUAACUUUACUAUAAUUAAUUUUUAUUUUUAUCAUUCAUUUUAAUGAGUAAAUAUGUUUAACCGUGUAUUGAUAAUAACUAUCAUUCAUUUUCUUGAAAUUUAGUUUUCUUAAGAGCAAUGAUAAUAAAAAAAAAUGAGAUACCUUAUUUAUGAUUAUAACUAUUAUAAUUUUAUUAAUAUUUAAGAAUUCUAAUACAAACUUAACCUUAUUUAUCAAUUCUAUCUUUUAGAAUACAAUUGUUUUUUUGAAGAUUUAGAUUCGAUACAAUUCAUAGUGCUUACAAAUGAACCAAAUUAACUAGAUGUGAAUUCUUUUAUAAUGGAAUAACGCUCAAUCUGAUAUAGUGUUUUUUAAUCCACUAUCUACACGAAUUUGAUGAAUGAUUCACUUAAGUUCUCAUUUAUUAAGAACUCUAUUUUAUAUGUUUAUUAAGUUCUCAUAAUAUGAAGAAGGCAUAUUUUUUUUAAUAUUUUCAUUUUUAUUUAAAUAUUUUCCCCUCUCCAAAAUCCAUAAUACAGUAGAUAAUAAUUUUUAAACGCAAAGCUUCCUUUAAUAACCAUUUCACUUAAAAAAAUUAAAAAAUGAAUUAAAAUAGUACGUGCCAAUAUUAUAUACAUAAAACAUGGUUCAUUUCUAAAACUUAAAAAACGGAGAACGUUUUUAAGGUAAUUGAAUAAAAAUAUACUAAUUAUGCAUAAAAAGUAUAUGACUUUAUUUUUUUAUUUAUAAGUUUUAAAUUGAUAUUUUCUCCACAUAAAAGUGUAAAUUGGUUAUUUUUAUUUAACAUGAUAGUAUUUUCAAAGUUAUUUUCUAUUUUCUCUCUCUGCGUGUUGAAUGGGUCACCUACAAAUAAAUUGCAUGAGUGUGCCUGUAAUCAACUUCAAAAUAUUUACGUAAUUAAAUAGGUUUAUUCCAUAAGAUUGAUUGAUUUUUCAAUGUGGCAAAAUGGAUCUAUUUGUGGGCUAUUCAUCAUAGAUAGGUGGACUUAAAACUCUGAUCUUGUUGAAAGCCAGGUUUGCGGGUCAACCUUUCAGGUUUUUUUUAAUAAUUUUCUUAUUUUCUAAUAUAUAUCUAUAUAUCGAUAUAUAACAUAUGUAUAAUCUUUUAAUUAAAAAAAAUAUUCUAUUUGUAUAAUAAAUUAUUAUAUUUUAAUUAUUAUUAUUAUUAUUUUUAAAUAUUAAUUAUCUAAAUUAUAACAUUAUUGAAUAUUUGUAACUUUUUAAACGAUAUAAUAUAAAGAAUAAUUUUUUUAAAAAAAUCAUUUUAAUUUUUAAAUUAAAAAGUUUUGAUCAAUAAUUUAUCACUAACUUAUUAGAUUGAUAGGUUAAAUACGAUAAGUUAAAAUGCAUUAGUAAAGUAAAAAAUCAGUAUGGUUGAUUUAGACUAGAGAAAAAUAGCUUAUUUUCAUUUUUAUUAUAUCAUUUCUAGAAAAAAAUAAUUUAAAAUUUCCAAAUAAAAAUUUGGUUUCUUAUUUUAUUAUUAAUACUUACUAUACUUUUUUCAAUUUCCUUAAAGCAUUUUCUUUCGGAAUAUAAUAUUGGAUUAACGUUUUUAAAGUAAAACGAAUGAAAUGGUCAUUUAAAAAAAAAUAUCUAUAAAAGUUAUUAUUUAAUAUUUUUAUGAAUUCAGAUAGAGGAAUACGGCAUUUGAGUUUUUUUUUUCUCAAAAAAGUUAUAAUAUUUGAGAUGUACAUACAUUAUUAUUAUAAUUAAGUAUAAAAAUAAUAUGAAAAUGAAUAUAUAUGUCUGUAUAUUAGUGGAUAAUGCUAAUAAAGACAAUAGAACAUGUUACUUACAACAUGUGCACACGGCAAUAGCCUAAGAAAAAUUGUAGUUAGCAUAUAUAUAUAUAUAUUAAAAUGAUAUUUUAACAACUCUUUUUUAAUAACUUUUUGACAACAGGAUAUGUGUCAAAAUUCUAUUAAUUUGUUUGAAUUUAUUCUAAAAAAAUAUUUAUAACCGAACAAUCACAAACUGUUACGUAUGCAUUAUGAAAAAAUUGUCAAAAUAGAAUUGUUAAAAAGACUUUUUCCUACUAUAUUAUAUUAGUGAGAUGAGACAUUACAUACGUAUGACAUUUGAUAUUGAGAAAAUGAGAUGUUGGUGAAGAUGAUGGUGUAGUGGACCCACUUUGGUUAAACGAAACCCGUGACUCUCUUAUCUGUAAAUGCUUCGUAGAAAGAUUGGUAUUUCACAAAUUAAAAAAGUUUAGCACAAAAACUUCCAUCAUGUGACCCUAAAUAAUUAAUUUUUCUUUUAAAAGUAAUUAUUAGCAGUCUUACUCACUAGCUAAUCCGGAUUGAGGAAAGUUUAAGUCAAUAAUUAAGCUUCCAUCUCAAUUUAAUCAACACACGGGAAUAGAUUACGGACCCUUUCAUUUGUAGGCUUCUCUGCUUUCCUUUUCAACACAAUUAGAAAGAUUUCUUUCUCUUCUAUAGUGAUUCAUGUUUCAUAUUUUCUAUGGUUGAAAUUUUGUGAUUGUUAUGUUUAAUAUUUUCUAUGGUUCUAACAAUUUGUUCGUCUUAAACCAUUUUUAAUUUCACUUAAUCGCAAACUUAAUUUGAAAUUAAAUGUUUCUAACAAUUAUCAUAGAAAAAAUUCAAAAAUUAUUUUUAAAGGGUUGUGAAAGAUUUGCUAAUGAUAGCGAAAUCUAUUAUAAAUUACUGUCCCUAAAAUACCAUAAAUUUUAUUUUUAACGAAUUUUAUCAUGAAAUACUUAACAACCUACUAAUUUUAUCUCAAUAACGGCAGUCAUAAAUAUUUACUAAAUUAACAACUCUAUCGAAAUACAUAAUAUUAUAUCAAGUAUGUCUUAAAAAUUAUUUUUUAACACUAAAUCACUUUAUUAUAAUCUUGGUUUAUUUUUUAAAACUUUGGUUUCCAUUCAAAGAAGAAACUAAUGAAACAUUUUUCAUUUAAAAUAUUUUAUUUUUAAUUAGACAAAACUUGUAGAAAAAAUAGCUUUAUUUAAAUUAGUAGAACACUUUUCCCACGUUUUACCACCUACCUAUUCACUCAAUUUACUAUUUCUCCCAAAAUGUCCUCAUAUAAUUUGUUUUCCCUUUGACGUUUUUUAAUUGACUGUUUUUAUCAACUUUCUCAAAUUUAGGUGCAUUUGUCUUGCAUUUCGUGUACAUCAUUAUAACAUUGUGAGUGGUAAUUGUUCGAAGACUAAAUAUUUUUCACAUAAUUUCGUUUAUUUUAAAUUAUAUUUACUUUCAGUGAGUUCUUAAUUUACGUUUUAAUAGUUAAAAUACGUUUUGCUCUUUUGAAAAAUUUAAAAUUAUAUUUUAGUCCCUAUACUUUAUUUUAAAUUUUUAAUAUUUCAUUCUUUCAAGUACUGCAGCUAAAAGUACUGUAUUUUAAAAUCGAAAAGGUAUACAUUUUGUUGGAAAGAUUAAACAGUUAGAUGGAUUUAAAAAAUUAUUUAUUGUGCAUAGAACGGAUAAAUUUAAUUUUUCAUAAUUUUCAUAUUCUUAAGAAUAUCAAAAUUUAUCUAACUACUAAUUAAUCUUUUCAUUUAACUCUAUCAUAUCAAAAUAAGUUAAAACAGCCAGUAAAUCAUACAUAUUUUCUGUAAAAAAAUCUAUAGAAAAAUAUUUUAAAAGUUACCAUAAAAAAAUAAAGCAACUUCAAUACACUAAAGAAAUUGGACAAAAUUUAAUUUUGCAUUGUAUCUGUAUUCUUAAAGAAAUUAAAUCUCUAUCAAAAUUUAUUCAGCUCUCCCUACAAACAAAAGUAAAAUAAAAUAAUACCAAGUUAACAAAGUAAAUCAUAUAUACCUUCGGAAAAAAUCUAUAGAAAAAUCAUUUUAAAAUAUUCUACAACUUUGAUACACACUCUAAAAAAUUGGAUAAAUUCAAUUCUGCAUCACGUACAUAUUCUUAAGGAAUUAAAAUGUUAUAUCAAAAUUUAUCUAACUAAUAACAUGAUUUCUAAACUCUGUAAUUUAAACCAAACAAACAAUGAGUAUUUACAAUACCAAACCAAUAAAAUAAAUAACAAGGUUUCAUAUAAAAUCAACACAUAAAAAUUAUUUUAAAAGCUGUAACACAAAAAACUCUGCAACUUUGAUACACUCUAAACAAAUUGGAUAAAGUUAGUUUUGCUUCUUAUCGAUAUUAUAAGAAAUUAAAACUUAACUUUAAAAUGCAUCAUUAAUUGUUUAACUUGCUACAAGAAGAGGAGGAGAUUGUUUUCUUUAUCUAACUCUGCUACACAUGUCCAUUGUUUUCUUUAGCUAGCAAAACUUGAGCUAAGGAAUCUUGCUUUGAUAUAUCGUUUGAGGUAUUUUCACUAGGUUCAUAAACUUCAAUUUUUAUUUUUUUUUACUUUCUAAAAAACACUAAAAAGAAACAUGAAUGCAACCCACAACCAAUUUUGAGCAUUAUCAACUUACUCUAAUUUCUCCAACUUUUACAGUCACAAAUAGUAUACUAGCAUGUUUGUGUGUCUUGUUUAGGCUGCUGACGCUAUUGUAGUUGUUUUUUGGUACGUGAAAUCAAGCCCAAUAAUUCCUGCACACAUUUGAAGGGCAUUGAAAUAGAAAUAUGGGCUACCCCUAUAGUAAAAAAAAUGUUACAAUGAUGUUAAAGAAAAUGCACAUUUGAAUAAAGUAAAAAGAAGUAUACACAACUCCUUCAAACAUCACGUCCACAAUUCUAGAGUCUAGGUAUAUAGGAAAAUGCCUACUCUUACUGUCUUUUACUUUUUUAGGCAUGUUUGAAAAACAUAAUCAGUUAUUAAUGUGUUUUGAUAAGUUUUGUUUUGUAUGAUAUGAUUACUUUUUUGUGAUGGGAUUCUCGGUUAUAUUUUUUCAUUUUUUUAGAAUUUUUUGGAUGCUCACAAAGUCUACUGUGAAAAAAUUUAGAAUUAUGCUUGAUUUGAAUAUGCAUGAUAAAGACUACAAUCGUGAAACUAAAUAUGGAAUUCAUUGUGUUGUGGCUACUUCCAAGCUUGUGUCUUUCAGUUUAAGAAAACUUAAACAAAAAUGCAUAUCUGAACUUUGUUCCAGGCCUACAAAUGUUGUUUAGGUUUGACAGAUUAUAUAUUUUUGGUUUGACAGAUUUUGUAUUUACACUCAGCAUAAAAAGAAAUAUAUAUUUUUUAUUUCUGUUCAAUGCGUGUUUGAUGUACUGAGGAAAUAUUUUGAAGAAAUUUGAUUUGGUUAGAAUGAAUGGUUUAUAUACUUUGCCAUUUAAAUGUAUAAUUCCAUAGUUCCCAAAACUCUGAAACCAUCUACUAUGUUAUUAUUUUUCUUUUAGUUUUUAUUGAAUGUAUUCAUCAACACCUGAUUAAAACAAAAGAAAAAGUAAAAAAAAUAUAAAUUUAUAUAAUAUAUGAUAUAAUAGGAAUAUAUAUAUAUAUAUAUAUAUAUAUAUAUAUAUUGUUUUUUAUUUUAUUAAAUAGAAGCAGUAUUCAUUAUCGAGGAUUUUGGAAACAGACUUAUCGAAUUUCGAAGUUGAAUAAUUUUAUAUAAUUAUAUUUUAAUUAUAAAUAGUUCAUUAUUGAGAAUCUAUAAUCCUACAUCAUUGAAUACAAACCUACAUUUGUGCAGGUGCAUUGGGAAUGAAUUUCUGACGUUUCCCUAGUUUAUUUUUAUUGGCAAAUAUGUUUUAAAGUUAAAAUUAAAAAAUUAGAGAAAUAAAGAAAGAAGUUAGCUGUAAAUUUAAUUUCUUGUGAUUCUAAAAUAAAAUAGUUAAAUCAGUGUAUACGAUCAAGAGAAACGAAAAGAAAAGUAAGAAUAAUGUAGAUGGUUUCAGAGAGUUUUGGAGACUAUGAAAUCAUACAUUUAAAUGGCAAAGUAUAUAAACCAUUCUUUCUAGUCAAAUUAUUUCUUUAAUAUAUCAAACAUGCAUUGGACCAAAGUCAAGAAAUUAUUUCUUUUCUUACGAAGCGUAAAUACGGAAUCUUGUCAAACCAGAAAUAUAAUGUGAAUAAUGAAUUAAUGAGUAAUAGUUAAUGAGCAAAAGCGGAUCUAAGGAACAUUUGUAGGCAUGGAACAAAGCUUAGAUAUUCAUUUUUGCUUAAGUUUUCUUAAACUGAUCAAAGACACAGGCUUGGAAGUAGCCACAACACAAUGGAUUACAUACUUGAUUUCACGAUUGUAGUGUGAAGAAAAGUUACUAAAAAUAAUUUUGAUCUAGAUGUACAUUAUGGACCAAACACAGUCAAAUGAACCAGUUGGCCUAAAGCCAUAAAUGGAUAAUUAUGAUUCUGUUUAAUAAGGUAAUUAUUCAGAGAUAAAUAAAAAGAAAAAUAAAGUGCUUGCACGUGGAGUGAUAAAGUACAUUAGUCACGGGCUCGUUGCAGAGAUGAGACUGUGUUGGUUUUCUAUUUGUUUUCAUUGUUUUCUUAAAUUUGUUCCCACUGCCCUAUAGUUGGAUGUUGGACAGAACUUUUAAAGGGAAAGUAAUUUUUCUGAGGAGACAGCUAAUGGUUUCAUUCAAACAUUUGAAGGCAGCAAUAAAAUAAGAGAUGUUUGUAACAUUAAUCAUUUAUCGAUCAGUCAAAUAAAUAACACUAUCAUGUUUGAUUCCUUUCGCUUUACACAAGAAAGCGUUGGGAAUUUAUUUAAUGCGACACUUUUCAUGAUUAAACAAACACUAAUUAAAGCGACAGAAUAACGAGAAGUUAACCAUCCAUGCACGUACUUGAAUCGCACCCACGAUCAAUGAAAUUUGGAAAACAAGACAACAGAAAGGCACAGGUAGCACCAACUUGGGCAUGAUUAGGAACAUUGGAAAUUACGUGGGGGUUGUAUAGAGCAAACGUUGAGAAGCAAGGAGAGUGAGAUGGGAAGGUUGAGAUUGAUACCCAAAAUGUUUGCUCGAAGGGCAGUGCAGAGACAUACUGCAGCCUCAAGAUCAACCAGACCAUUGAGGAGGCUACAGCAAGGGGUAACUGGUGGUUGACCCAAGGUGACGUUCACCAACCCGUUUAGCACAUUGGCACACACUCCUAGUUUAAGUGCAUCACGGGGGCAUGUGGUCCCAGAACCUCCAGAACCACCAGAGCCACCUGAACCACCAGAUCCACCGGAACCACCGGAGCCACCUGAACCACCCGAACCACCUGAGCCACCGGAACCUCCCGAGCCACCUGAACCACCUGAAGGACUUGGUUUGACAGGCUUAUGCUUUGGCCUGGGCUUUGGCCCAGGGCAAGUCCCACAAGCAGAGACAAGGGCAAAGAAGAGGAUGUUGAAUGUGAAGAAAAGAGCAAGGGAAGAGGUAGUUUUGGAAGCCAUCUGAAACUGUAGUAGUUCCUGAUAUUGAUGAAUCGCAAACACUACUUCGCUACAAAAGAGAAGAGUGUUUGUGGGGAUGUGAGUUAUUGGCAGUGAAUGGUGGUUUAUAUAGCGUUUUGGAGUGCAAGUAGGUUAAAUUGUUUCAUAACAAAUCACCCAAGUAAUGAUUAUUAAAAUAGUUAAAUGGGUUUAAGAGAAGGGUUUUAGCUGGCAGAAAAACAACCUUGAAUUAGGUUUUUUAUGGAUACUUGUGAGGUGAUGUUGUGGGUCUCAAAUUCAACGGCGG
rnacentral:lncRNA from 1 species